AUGAACAUAUGGAUUGAUGGAAGUGCAGAAAGGAGCUGUGUGCUGUGCUGCAGGCUCACCAUGAAGGGAGCAGUUCCUGGUCAGCUGGCACCUGUCAGAGGUUCUGAGAGAGAAAGGACACUCAAAGCAUCACUUACUGAUUGAUCCCCACCUGAGAGAAGGCUCA
rnacentral:lncRNA from 1 species